rnacentral:rRNA from 1 species
CAGAGGUCCCAAGCGUUGUUCGGAUUCACUGGGCGUAAAUGGUGCGUAGGCGGUCGGGUAAGUCUGAUGUGAAAUCUCACAGCUUAACUGUGAAACUGCAUUGGAUACUAUCCGGCUCGAGGAAUGGAGGGGAGACUGGAAUACUUGGUGUAGCAGUGAAAUGCGUAGAUAUCAAGUGGAACACCAGUGGCGAAGGCGAGUCUCUGGACAUUUCCUGACGCUGAGGCACGAAAGCCAGGGGAGCAAACGGG